GGAUUUACUGGGCGUAAAGGGCGCGCAGGCGGCUCAUUUUNUCAGGCGUGAAAGCCCCGGGCUUAACCUGGGAACUGCGUUUGAUACGGAUGGGCUAGAGUUCGGGAGAGGAGAGUGGAAUUCCCAGUGUAGAGGUGAAAUUCGUAGAUAUUGGGAAGAACACCGGUGGCGAAGGCGGCUUUCUGGACCGAUACUGACGCUGAGGCGCGAAAGCGUGGGGAGCAAACAGGAUUAGAUACCCUGGUANUCCACGCUGUAAACGAUGUGUGCUAGACGUUGGGGAGCCUAGCUACUUCGGUGUCGCAGCUAACGCGGUAAGCACACCGC
rnacentral:rRNA from 1 species